AAAAUACUCCCUCCGUUCGGAAAUACUUGUCGGAUAAAUGGUUGUAUCUAGAUGUAUUUUAGUUCUACAUACAUUCAUUUUUAUGCAUUUCUCCUAUAAAUAUUUUCGGGCGGAGUGAUAUUUC
rfam:Triticum aestivum genome assembly, contig: Triticum_aestivum_CS42_TGACv1_scaffold_020940_1AS